UCCGGUCAUGCAUUAUUAAACGCCGUAGUAUUCGCGGAGGCCGGAAGUUGAGGAGCAGAGCCAAAAGUGAUAGGGGCGGGUCUGAGAGUCCUCGGGCUCCUCCUCUAAAGGGUACUCAGUGAAGCUUUCAAGUACCGCGAUGGAGGGCCGUCCACUGUCAGCUAAAGGAGCUGAGAUCACAGCAUAGAUGUCAGUCUGGACUGUUGUCCCCAAAGGCGAAUUGUAGAAUGGCCAUCAGUGUGUGUAUGUGUGUUUACUCCUCUUCCAUUUCUCCUGUUUCUCCUUUCGACGGUGGUUAAGGCUCGUAUUAAUGGGGACGUGAGAAGUGGACUCGAAGACCGGUUACCGAGUGAUUUAGCAAAAUCUACUUUCCUGCCCUUUAUCUGCCACUUAAUUUACAUAGCCUUUAAACGACUUGCUUCCACACCGAUUCUCCUGCCUAGUCUCACUUAUCCCUUGUUAGUCGGCUACUUUUUAAAGACGUUGAGCCAUUCGUUUCCUGUUUGCUGCUAACCACUGCCAAGCAAAGCCUUGAGAGCCCCGCCUCGGGGGGCCCAGCCCGCCAAUUUGACAUGGUGGAUUAGUGCCCAGAAUAGUGAAGUGUAUUGGUGUAAUGCUUUUGAAUUUUUAAAGACCUCUUCAUAGACCACCAGAAGAAUGUAUGAAGUGAAGGGAAGUCGCUCAGUCGUGUCCGACUCUGCGACUCCAUGGAUUGUAGCCUAUCAGGCUCCUCCGUCCAUGGGAUUCCAGGCAAGAGUGCUGGAGUGGAUUGCCAUUUCCUUCUCCAAGAAGAAUGUAUAGGAGAGUAUAAUACAACCCAGAGAGGCCUGGGGAUGCUACAGCUGAACUCGCAGUUGGGGAACUCUUACCACCUAACUGGUUUGAGCAGGGCUUACUUACUGUACAGAGACCUGACAUACUGAAAAAGUUUCUCAUUUAUUUAUUUUUUAAAUAUAAAAAUAUAGGAGUCCUCUGCAA